CUGCCAAGAGGGUAAGAUAAAGACUGAGAAUGGCCGAUGGGUUUGACAAGGUAGAGGUGGGUAAGGACUUUACAAGAGCUGCUUAAAUUGAGUCUUGGUGAUGAGUCCAAUUGGAGCAGACAGUGGAGACCAGCUGAGUCUAGCUCUUUCAUGAAGUUUUGUUCUCAACGGAAGCAGAAAAAUCACCAAAAACUUUCAGAGGAAUAUGAAGACAGGCUAAAGGGAGCACUCAAGGGAGCACUCAGCCUUCCUCAUCCAAGGCGCAGCCAGCUGAUGUGGACUGUGCCCAUCUCCAGCACCGCCACGCAUCCUACCCUACUGAAGCUACACUAAUGAGAGGUAUACGUGCUUCUUUCACUAAGGAAUCAGACAAGCAUCUCAAAGCAAACCAGAGAAAGAAGACUGGGAACUGGGGCUCUAUUUCUAGCCCAUUUACUCAGAGAAACUCAAGGAAAAUCCAAGAGCUCCUGCAGGCUUCAAAAGGAUGGAUGAGCUCAGAGCUGUAAUUGUGUGAAGAAAAACAGUAUAGAGCUUGAUUUUGGUUGGUUCUCCAGAAGUGAAAUAAGAGAUUGAAUAUAAAAGCACAUCGUGAGCAGCUCAGAUACAAAAAGAGAACUAUGACCCACCAUCUGCAGCAACCACCAACACGUGGUCUACAGCAACCAGCCCUGGAAGCCAGACUUGCAAGAGGUCAGAUCACCAGCUCCAGCCACCAACCCAAGAAACCAAACAGCAACUCCUGUAACAAUUAGCCCAAAUAGCCACAAUUUGAUUAAUAACUGAUAUAUCCCUUAAUUUUUGUCCCCCUUCUACCUUGGGACCAGCCACAAAAAGCCAAACAUGUAACCCAAACCAAUCACAUAGGCUGCCCUGCUUCUAGUCAGCCCACCCAAGCUUCCCCAGGCCAACAGUCUCAAUUCAGGGAAUAUUGGGUGUAUUUGAAGCUUUAUUUUUAUCACUGUAAAUUUUCCCACUCCUCUGCCUACCUUUGACUUUCUGCCAAAAUGGAAGAGAUGAUAGCUGACUUCCAUAAGCUCUGAAUAAAUAGCCUUUGCUUGUU